UCCCGGAGCAGGACAGUCACUCUCUGCCGGGAGGGGUAGUGACGCCGCAACAACGGAAGUCUGUUUACUAAUUCAAAAUGGCUUCCUUAAUAAGGAAGUGAAGAAAAUAAUCCGAAGGGAAAAAAACACGAAUAAACCCACGAUUCGAACAAAUAAACCCGUUUCUAAUCAACGGGGACGCGUUUCGAAGGAGACCAGGAGCACUACCAGCUACGUUUUGUAAAGGUCAUGGGUGGCAAGAAACCUGUCUAGAUAAAGACUUCGUUAUCCCUUUGGAAGGCCCUCACUCAGCCGCGAUGCAUCGGACAACCUAAUGCUCUGGGUCUCUACGCAUCCUGUCAUGGACGGGGAGAAUUACCUGCACCCAGAGGGACCCCUACUAGACAGCCCGAUGUUCAGCCUGUCAAACCCUUCACUUCUCCCCACAGCCAUGGAGAACCAUAUGUCUCCAUCUAGCUCGUGGGCCACGUUCUCCUCACAUCAGGCUACAUAUAACUUGCACUACCCUAUGCAAUCUGGAAACCAGCAAUAUUUUAAUACCACUUCAGAGAUGCCCAUGGAAACGUUCAGUCCGCAUUUCCAAGACGGGGAUAUAAACCUCACCAGCCAUGCGAGAAAUGGAGACUUUUCUCAGGUGAGGCAUUCAAGGGUACUAUGCUGUGUUCUG